rnacentral:rRNA from 1 species
ACGAACGCUGGCGGCGUGCUUCACACCUGCAAGUCGAACGGAAAGGCCCUGCUUUUGUGGGGUGCUCGAGUGGCGAACGGGUGAGUAACACGUGAGUAACCUGCCCUUGACUUUGGGAUAACUUCAGGAAACUGGGGCUAAUACCGGAUAGGAGCUCCUGCUGCAUGGUGGGGGUUGGAAAGUUUCGGCGGUUGGGGAUGGACUCGCGGCUUAUCAGCUUGUUGGUGGGGUAGUGGCUUACCAAGGCUUUGACGGGUAGCCGGCCGGAGAGGGUGACCGGCGAGGGUGGGACUAAGAUACGGACGGGACGCCGCCGGGAGACAGCAGUGGGGAGGAGGGACCAAGGGGGGGGAGUCGGAUGCCGCAACGCCGGGUGAGGGAGGAAGGCCUGCGGGAUGUAAAAAGCAGGCGCCGGUGACGAAGGGUGAGGGAGGGUAAUGGGUAAAGAAGCACCGGAGAACUACGUG